rnacentral:rRNA from 1 species
UACGGGGGGGGGUAAGCGUUGUUCGGAAUUACUGGGCGUAAAGGGCUCGUAGGCGGCCAACUAAGUCAGACGUGAAAUCCCUCAGCUUAACUGGGGAACUGCGUCUGAUACUGGAUGGCUUGGAUUCGGGAGAGGAAUGCGGAAUUCCAGGUGUAGCGGUGAAAUGCGUAGAUAUCAGGAGGAACACCGGUGGCGAAGGCGGCUAUCUGGACAGAGUCUGACGCUGAGGCGCGAAAGCUAGGGGAGCAAACAGG